rnacentral:rRNA from 1 species
AUGGAAGGCCUGCCGUUCAUGAAGCUUGGUUGUGUCUUCCGUGUGCACCGCUGGAUGAACGACAUGCUGGGACACGCUAUCCCUGAUUUAUGCCGCUUCAGCUUGGAUGAGUCUCCAUCAGUUGAUAUGAUAACUGUAUACCAUAUAACUGGAAUUAACCCAUGCAAGUCGAAGAAGGAUUGGCCGGUGCUGCCGGCUGGCGUCAAGUUCGAUCCCACGGAUCAGGAGCUGAUCGAGCACCUUGAGGCCAAAGUGAGUGCUGACAGCGCGAGAUCUCACCCUCUCAUCGAUUUGUUCAUACCAACCAUCGACAGCGAGCACGGCAUAUGCUACACCCAUCCUGAGAAACUUCCAGGUAUCACACUGAGUGGCCUAAGCAAGCAUUUCUUCCAGCGCAAUUCCAGGGUGUUCAAAAGAGGCACGUGGACGCGUCGCAAGAUACAGUCAGAGUGCGGCAUGCACGCAAUGUGGCACAACACCGGCAAUACCUUGCCGGUGAUGGUCAACGGCUGGCAGACGGGCAGCAAAAAGGUUCUGGUGCUGCAUACCAACAAGAACUUCGACCAGCAGAGGACCAACUGGGUGAUGCACCAGUUCCACCUCGGGGACCUGGAGCAAGAGAAGGAGCGGGAGCUGGUCCUCUGCAAGAUUUUCUACCAGACGAACACUAGGGCCGGGAGUAAAAAGAUUAUAAGUUAG